GGGCCCCUCUGAUGGAGACCUGCGUUCGGCCAGGCAGGCCCACAGCUGGCGUGGUCAUCCAGGGCGGGAACGGGAUUGGACGAAGCCUUCCCUCGGGCAAAGAUGCUGGGGUGGGGAACAGGUGCAGCAGGAACAGAAGGUCAGAGCGUGAGAUCAGGGUUUCUCCCCCAAAGGAGCCUGCAGCAGUGUCACACAGAACACACCCCCUCAACUGUCUUUCUACUGAAAAAAAAGAGAGGGAAACGUGCUUCAAUAAGAGGGACACAGGGACCCCCAAGCCCUGCCCUUUAGAGAAGCUUAAAGACUCCUACAUCAUUCUUUUUUUUUUUUUUUUUAAGGAAUUGGGUCCCUUCCAUCUGUGGCCAUGACCGUUCAUCCCACAGCCUGUCCUCCUCUCUUGAGAGCUGUCCUGGCUCAGGCUGUGGCUGGAUUCUCAAGCAGCAUCAUGUGGCCAGGUUAGGAGCAGGAUGUCACAGAGAGAGGGGUCCAAAGUUCAGCUGCUGGGAAAGGCCACAAAGACUGGGGUCCCAGGAGAACGGCGACCUGCCUAUCAGUUCUAUCUCUAAAACUCUGGGGUUCGACUCUCCAGACU
rnacentral:lncRNA from 1 species